UGUGAGGAACAUGAAGCUCUGAGGAUGCAGGAACAGAGACCAGACUCUCCUGGACCCAGCUGUGUGUCCAUGAAGAGUGACCAGUCUAAAGAUGUUAUGAGAAACUUUAAAGAUGGAAGUCCUGCUGAUGGGAGAAUGCAGGAACAGAGACCAGACUCUCCUGGACCCAGC